UGAUUUACCAAUGCCUUGUUCUAAGGUAAGUAUUUCAUAAUGAGCUAGGUCGAGGUUCGGCCAUUGCACUCUGGCUGUGCUGACCCCUGCAAUUUCCCCAAAUGGGGGAAACGCAACUGCAUAAAUUGUGGUAGUGGGGGACUGCGUUCACGCUUUCCCCUU